rnacentral:rRNA from 1 species
GACGGAGGGUGCUAGCGUUGUUCGGAAUCACUGGGUGUAAAGCGCGUGUAGGCGGCCUGCCAAGUCUGUCGUGAAAGGGCCCGGCUUAACCGGGUCAGGUCGAUGGAAACUGGUGGGCUGGAGGCCGGUAGAGGUGAGUGGAAUUCCCGGUGUAGUGGUGAAAUGCGUAGAGAUCGGGAGGAACACCAGUGGCGAAGGCGGCUCACUGGGCCGAGCCUGACGCUGAGACGCGAAGGCGUGGGGAGCGAACGGG